UGGCUUUUGUUCAAGGACUCAAAAGCGCUCCCUCAGUGCCAUAGGAAUAGCAGUGGCAGCGCAGAAACCACUGCAGCUGGGGAAGUGUUGAUGCCCAUGUUGGAAGAGGGAACUGAUCCUGCUGGAAACUGACUUCCGAAAGAAAAUUGCUACAUGGACGCUAGAAGUGACAGGAGCAAAGGUGUGGGGAAAAGCAGCAACACGGCUGGGGAGGAGAGUGGUCCCACUUGUUGCACCGCCGGCUCCGGGGUAGUCUGGCUUCUCAUUCUUUCGGGGCUAAUGCACUUGCUGCCUGGACAUUCCCUGGAGAGUCUUUCAGGACCUGAUCGCCUUUCACAUGCACGCUCUGCAGUUUAAAACACACGAGAAUUCUUCAUAAAUUUAUGGCUUGACA